GGGUCCGAAGGAGACGAAUUGCCUUUUGCCAGAGAGAUUUUUUUAGAAAUUGGAUAAAGAAUUCAAAAAUAGAAAGAAUCUAAAUAAAGGGCCGAAGGGAAGGGGGCCCACUACUUCUUCAUUCAGGGGGGAGACUAGCCUCAUUACUUCCCACUGGGCGAGAGGUGGACCUAAGCCACCUACCCACUCAUCAAUCACGGUCUUCAGCUGACUUGCACUGAUAGACCCCUAUUGUAUUGGAAUUAGGCGCCCAUCUUUUUACUGUUGUCAACUAAUCUCUUCAAUCUUCGAUUCUACUCUAUGUUAGAACAUUUCUGUGAAUGCUAUUUUGAUCUAAGUGGUCUUAUUCUAUGUCCCGUGCUAGGAAGCAUUAUUCUUCUUUUCAUUCCAAAUUCAAGAAUACGACUGAUACGAUUGAUUGGUCUGUGUGCCUCUNGUGUGCCUCUCUUAUUACUUUUUUGUAUUCCCUUGUUCUUUGGAUACAAUUCGAUCCUUCUACGGCCAAAUCUCAAUUUGUGGAAAGCCUUCGAUGGCUUCCUUAUGAGAACAUAAAUUUUUAUUUGGGUAUAGACGGUAUCUCUUUAUUCUUCGUGAUAUUGACCACAUUUCUGAUCCCUAUUUGCAUUUUAGUGGGUUGGUCUGGUAUGAGAAGUUAUGGG
rnacentral:misc_RNA from 1 species